AAUAGAUAUGGCAAUGAUGUCUGCCCUUAACCGCCUUAAUAAGCUGAUGACGUCUACUAUUUU
rfam:Sphingobacterium sp. Ag1 JX05_contig_20, whole genome shotgun sequence.